AAAUAUUUUUAUAAAACUAAUCUUAAUUAAUUUCUUGCGUUUUCAUUUGAGCUUUCGAAAGUUAAAAGAUUCUACCUGAAAGUUGAGGAAUUUGAAUUAUUUCUUUUUGCCACCUGUCGAUUGAAUACGAUUAAAUAUUACAGAUAUAUACUUAUACACUUCAGAUAAAAUAUCUCAAAAUUAAGCGAUGGGAACGGUAUAAUUAUUAAGAUCGUUGCAUUUAUUUUUUCAUGAUGUACAAGAAUAUCAAAAAAUAACUAUAUGAUUUCAUUUGAAAAAAUGACGAUGACCUUGAAAAAAGAAUUGCAAUGAAAAACCAUUUGCACCUUUGCAAUAAUAUGACCUUUGAAAUAAUGUAGUUUUAUUGUGAAAAGUUUCUUAUAUAACAAUGUAGAAUUUAGGAUUUCCUAUAUUUAGGUUGCGUGGAGCUGUAGCAAAGAUUGUAAUUAGUAACAAUAUUUCCUUCAAACAGGUGUAAAAUUACAUCUGAAUAAAUUUAAUUCAUUGAAAAAGCAAGAUUAUAUUAACGUAACGCCUUAAUAUCACUAGAUAUUACCAGAUAUUACAAUGAGUUAACCGCUUGCAUAAAGUCACUGAUUCUUCACAUGUCUGUUUUGGGUUAAGAUUUUCUUUCUAUUUAGUAUAAUGGCUCCUAAACCGAAGCGCACGGACAAGUUAGCCAGUAAACCAGCUGAAAAUAAGAUAGAAAAGAAAAUUGAUAAUGGGUAGAAGUCAAUUAAUGCAACAUCUACAUUUAAGUUACAAAGCCAGCUGUGAAAACAUCCACCACUGCAAAGAAAGCAGCAGCUGCUAAAUCAACAAGUGCUAUGAACUUUGCCUGUAGCGAAACCUAUACUUGCAAAAUCUAAGAAAAAUGUUCAACCUGUGAAAAGAUACAGAAAGGUGAAAAAUCAGCUGUGCCACUUCAGAAGGCAUUUAAAGUUUAGAAAAAGAUAUUGAAAGGUGUUCAUGGAUCAAGAGUAAAGAAAGUAAAGGCAUCUGUAUAUUUCUAUUGGACAAAAACAUUUAAGCCACCAAGAAACUCCAAAUAUGUGAGAAAAUUUGUCCCAAAUAGAAACCAAAUUGUCAGAAUCUGAUGACAGUUCCAUAUCAUCGCAGGCCAUAUUCAUCAAUUUGUCCAUGAUGGAGGUACAAUUUAUGGAUAUUAUAUUUAAUUUUUGUGAAAAAAGACUCUGAACAAGAUAUGUAUGCUGCCAGUGUGUCGAAAGAAAACGAUUGAAUGUGCAUUAUUGGGAAGUUGUUGAUAAUAAAUGAAUGCAUCGCCUAAAGGCGCUGUUCGCUCAGAGAAGGCGUCUCUGGCUAAGUACCUAUAGGCGCUGUUCGCUCCGAGGCAGCGACUAUGGCUAAGCGCCUAUAAGCGCUGUUCGUAGGCAAAGGGUUAAUUAGGCCAGAUGGUAAAAAGAAAGCAUGUGUACGCUUAACUCGUGAUUAUGAUGUACUUAAUGUUGCUAAUAAGGUUGGAAUAAUAUAAAUAUAUCUAUAUGUGAUUGAUAUGGAAGGAAAAGUGUAUAUAGAUGUAUUUAUAUGUAAUUAAUAUGGAAAGAAAAGUGUAUCUGUGCAAUAAAGCAUGUUGAUAUAAAAAAUCUUGUUACUGUAUUUCUUUAGAGAUUUUAUUCAGUAAAUUCCUUUUAUUGAUUAAAUAUCGAAGAUAAGGCAUUUUUGAGAUUCCAAACUUUAAUUUAAGUUCUUUUCAGAUAAAAUAAAUGUUUACAAAAUCAAGAAAUUAGUAUUUUUCAUCGACUAUGUAAUACUUAGUUACUACCACUAUUUCACCGCUAGAUAAUUAUGUAAAAUGUUCGUAUGCCCAUCAUAGGCCUACAUAUAUAUAUACAUAUGUACAUGCAUUGUUCAUCGAUUGACCACAUUUUCAACAAUAAAAAACACGCUUAAGUUCUCUUUCUGUUUCUCUGUCGAAAAUACUAAAUAAACAUUUAGGAAAACAGGAUACAUUUGUGAUUAGCUUAUGCAUUUAUGAUUUAACCGACUUUAUCAGUUAAGGGUACACAAAUAUACAUAAUAUACAAACAUAUACAAAAUAUUGAUAGUAUUCGUCCUAUUUUGUAGUUGAAAUAAUUUAAGUAAUUUAAGUAAGCAAUUUAAGUUUCAUUUAUUUAGUUAUACUUAAAAAAAGCGUAUUUCCAUAAACAUCAGCGAUCAACUUAUCGUUUAAAUACGAAGAAUGAAUUGCACAUAAUAGUUUAGGUUAGGUUUUUUGUGUUGAAUAAUAUCAGAAUCGUAACUUGCUGAUCUAGUAUAUCUAGUAUAUAGCAUUCUGUAUAUUUAAUUAAAUAGUACUUGUAGUAGUCAUGUGAGCAAACUAUGCGCAGAAUUAGGAAAAUUAGGAGCCAGGAAUAUUAAAAGAAUAAUUCGUGGCUGAGAAGGGAAUCUUAAUGGUGCAACGGAAGUGUCAGGGGACCGAAGGAUUAGUUUACUCAGUCUACCGUGAAUCUUCGCUGAUAGUGGGUGUAUUUUUGAUGGCUUUGUGAAAAUUAAG